UUUGUGCAUGUGUGUGAUCAUCAGUGUUCUCUUCUCACCAGACAUUCAGUCCACUUCUCUCUGAAGCAACUCUCCCUCGCAGUGUUCUACACAAUUACACCGCCCGCGAUGCCUCCUCAGAGUACUGUGGCUGUCUGAAUGGGGGCUGGUGUCAGGAGGGAGGUGUGUGUGACUGUGCACAGUUCCAGGCCCUCGGAGACCGCUGCCAGAUCAGUGAGUAACACACACAC
rnacentral:lncRNA from 13 species